GGUUGCUGUUUACGACGUGUUCAUAUAUCGAUUUGUAGUGAUGUAAUGUGCAAAUUAGCGGACUUUAUAGCGGCUCUCUAUUUUCCGUCGUUGUCUUUCGAGCAGCGCCUGUUGUUCCGGUAAAAAUCGAGUUGAAUGAAUCGCCACAGCCCCAACGUAUAUCGCGCAGUGUUGACCAAGACCAAGUCCAGCAGGAAUUCUGGCAUGGUAUGUGGCUGCACGGAGGAUUUCGAAAAAGAAAAACAACAACAUGGCUAAUAGGAUGUUGCUGCCCAGGGAGUCCUGGCCGAAGAGGUUUACUCAUUCCAGAAGCAAGAAUUGUACAAUUGUAAGGCGAAUGGAAAUAAACUGACAUCGACUGAGAUA